UACGAGGGGGCAAGCGUUGUUCGGAAUUAUUGGGCGUAAAGGGUGCGUAGGCGGUUUGGUAAGUCUUAUGUGAAAUCUACAGGCUCAACUUGUAGUCUGCAUGAGAAACUGCCGGGCUUGAGUAUGGGAGAGGUGAGUGGAAUUCCUGGUGUAGCGGUGAAAUGCGUAGAUAAUCAGGAGGAACACCGGUGGCGAAGGCGGUGGUCUGGGCCGGCAGCUGACGCUGGAGGAGCGAAAGCGUGGGUAGCAACAGG
rnacentral:rRNA from 1 species